AUUGAACGCUGGCGGCAGGCUUAACACAUGCAAGUCGAGCGGGGUGAUGGUGCUUGCACUAUCACUUAGCGGCGGACGGGUGAGUAAUGCUUAGGAAUCUGCCUAUUAGUGGGGGACAACAUCUCGAAAGGGAUGCUAAUACCGCAUACGUCCUACGGGAGAAAGCAGGGGAUCACUUGUGACCUUGCGCUAAUAGAUGAGCCUAAGUCGGAGUAGCUGGUUGGUGGGGUAAAGGCCUACCAAGGCGACGAUCUGUAGCGGGUUUGAGAGGAGGAUCCGCCACACUGGGACUGAGACACGGCCCAGACUCCUACGGGAGGCAGCAGUGGGGAAUAUUGGACAAUGGGGGGAACCCUGAUCCAGCCAUGCCGCGUGUGUGAAGAAGGCCUUAUGGUUGUAAAGCACUUUAAGCGAGGAGGAGGCUCUUUUGGUUAAUACCCAAGAUGAGUGGACGUUACUCGCAGAGUAAGCACCGGCUAACUCUGUGCCAGCCGCCGCCGUAA
rnacentral:rRNA from 1 species